rnacentral:rRNA from 1 species
ACCCGCUGAAUUUAAGCAUAUCACUAAGCGGAGGAAAAGAAACUAACCAGGAUUCCCCUAGUAACGGCGAGUGAAGAGGGAAAAGCCCAGCACCGAAGCCUGCGGCAAUUUUGCUGCUAGGCAAUGUGGUGUUUAGGUCGGCUCGUGGGAUCGCCACUCCACUCGAAGUCCAGCAUUGAGUAUGGUUCCCAGGAAUUGGCCCAUAGAGGGUGAAAGGCCCGUACGAGUGGAUGUGUCAGACAUGUAAGGCGAUUCACCAGGCCGGCCUUAGAGUCGGGUUGUUUGCGAAUGCAGCCCAAAGUGGGUGGUAAACUCCAUCCAAGGCUAAAUACUAGCACGAGUCCGAUAGCGAACAAGUACCGUGAGGGAAAGUUGAAAAGUACUUUGAAAAGAGAGUAAACAGUACGUGAAACCGCAUAGAGGUAAACGGGUGGCGUCAAGCUGCAAGCCCAGAGAAUUCAGUCGGUCAGGGUGUUGUCAUGCGCCCAGCGCAUCUAUCAGUCGGUGUAGAGUUUGGCUAGUCCGCUGGCAAAUGGCGGGCCCAGCUGACAAAGGCUGGGAUUUGCGUACCGGGUGGUAGCCGGAGCAAGCUAGCCGUCUGUUGGACUGCCUGGCCGAUGCACUUUCUCUGUUGGUGAACACCACGACCGGUGGUACUGCCAGUCUGCUGUAGCCAGCUUCGUCGCGGGCUCUGGUCACCACCUGGUGGCCGGGCCUGUGGUGAUCACAGACAAUUUCAGUGCACGGUGCUCGUGUGUUUUCCGCACGCGGGCAUGUUAUCGGGAACUGGUUGUAAACGGGUCGGCCUUUCGACUUGUCUGUAGUCGUGGUUGUUAGGUGACUCGGUGGGCUACGGUGGUACGAAUAACUGUGCAGGGCACCGGAGUUUUCGGUCCGACCAGCAGCGGUCGCUCACGCGACUGUUGUUGCCGGCUGCACACGCACUACAGUUUGGCGUGUACUGCACACUGUUCUUGUUAGCAGAGUAGUACGGAUGGCGUUGCCAGGGUCUGCCAGUUGUUGGGUCUGAUUGUCGUGUCGCCUGCCAAAAUGGCGGGUCCGGCAGUGGCCUAGCGGUGGAUGGUGCCUGUAGGCGGCGUUGUCGUAGUGCAGCCGGGCACGAUGUGUACGCGACCCUAUAGUCUGUGGUGUAGUGGUAGACGAGCUACCCGACCCGUCUUGAAACACGGACCAAGGAGUUUAACAUGCGCGCGAGUCAUUGGGUCCUACGAAACCCAGAGGCGCAGUGAAAGUGAAGCCUCGACAUAUAUUGUUCUCGGGGUGUGGUGAGAUCCCGCUGUUUCUCGCAUGCAUUUGGCCAGCACUGGGCUAUCUAGACGAGCAGUGGGCGCAUCACCGGCCCGUCCCAUGAUGUGGCUGUUUGUCGGUGGCAGCCUUCAGCCGCUGUCGGUGGUGGCAAUUCUGUUGUCACUGCUGGCAGCGGUGGCUGUCGUUCUGGCGGAUACGUCAUCGGGGCGGAGCAUGAGCGCGCAUGUUGAGACCCGAAAGAUGGUGAACUAUGCUUGCGUAGGUUGAAGCCAGAGGAAACUCUGGUGGAGGACCGCAGCGAUUCUGACGUGCAAAUCGAUCGUCAAACGUGAGUAUAGGGGCGAAAGACUAAUCGAACCAUCUAGUAGCUGGUUCCCUCCGAAGUUUCCCUCAGGAUAGC